AAAGCAUCGAGGUUCUCUUGGAAAUGUUGGAAAAGAUGUAUUGAUGUUCCUUGAAGAGGCCAUUGGAUAUGUUGUUUCAGAUGAACUUAUUGAGAGUUUGAUUACUGGACAAAGACAAUUGGAGUUGAUGGAUUGUCCAUAGAUGCCACAUGAAGUCUUCAACAGUAUCUGGAAUGGACAACUUUAGUACUUGGAAAAGAUGACAAAAAUUCUACUACAUUGUUGCAUAAAAUUGCACUCUUAAUCUCAUCUCAAGAGGUAGUAUCAUAAUAGUCCUUUUUUUCUUUUAGUUUUUUAGUUGCUAUUUGUCUAAUGUUAAUCCAGCAUAUAAAAACGAGCAUUGUUACAUUGCUAGGCUUUGAUGAUUGGCUGGAUUCAUUAAAGGUUAGAUUAUUUGUUAGCCUUG